UACGUAGGGUGCAAGCGUUAAUCGGAAUUACUGGGCGUAAAGCGUGCGCAGGCGGCUAUGCAAGACAGAUGUGAAAUCCCCGGGCUCAACCUGGGAACUGCAUUUGUGACUGCAUGGCUAGAGUACGGUAGAGGGGGAUGGAAUUCCGCGUGUAGCAGUGAAAUGCGUAGAUAUCAAGUGGAACACCAGUGGCGAAGGCGAGUCCCUGGACGAUUUCUGACGCUGAGGCACGAAAGCUAGGGGAGCAAACAGG
rnacentral:rRNA from 1 species